rnacentral:misc_RNA from 1 species
GAUGAAGAACGUAGCGAAAUGCGAUAAGUAAUGUGAAUUGCAGAAUUCAGUGAAUCAUCGAAUCUUUGAACGCACAUUGCGCCCCUUGGUAUUCCGAGGGGCAUGCCUGUUCGAGCGUCAUUAUAACCCCUCAAGCUCAGCUUGGUGUUGGGGCCUGCUGCACUGGCAGCCCUUAAAAUCAGUGGCGGCGCCAUCUGGCUCUAAGCGUAGUAAUUCUUGUCGCUAUGGAGUCCUGGUGGAUGCUUGCCAUCAACCCCCAAUUUUUCUAUGGUUGACCUCGGAUCAGGUAGGGAUACCCGCUGAACUUAAGCAUAUCAAUAAGCGGAGGA